AUUGAACGCUGGCGGCAUGCUUUACACAUGCAAGUCGAACGGCAGCACGGGGGCAACCCUGGUGGCGAGUGGCGAACGGGUGAGUAAUAUAUCGGAACGUACCCGGAAAUGGGGGAUAACGUAGCGAAAGUUACGCUAAUACCGCAUAUGCCCUGAGGGGGAAAGUGGGGGAUCCGCAAGGACCUCACGUUUUCGGAGCGGCCGAUAUCAGAUUAGCUAGUUGGUGGGGUAAAGGCCUACCAAGGCGACGAUCUGUAGCUGGUCUGAGAGGACGACCAGCCACACUGGAACUGAGACACGGUCCAGACUCCGACGGGAGGCAGCGGUGGGGAAUUUUGGACAAUGGGCGCAAGCCUGAUCCAGCCAUGCCGCGUGAGUGAAGAAGGCCUUCGGGUUGUAUAGCUCUUUCAGCCGGAAAGAAAACGCACGGGUUAAUACCUUGUGUGGAUGACGGUACCGGAAGAAGAAGCACCGGCUAACUACGUGCCAGCCGCCGCAGUAA
rnacentral:rRNA from 1 species